rnacentral:rRNA from 1 species
UACGUAGGGUGCGAGCGUUAAUCGGAAUUACUGGGCGUAAAGCGUGCGCAGGCGGUUUUGUAAGUCAGAUGGGAAAUCCCCGGGCUUAACCUGGGAACUGCGUUUGAAACUACAAGGCUAGAGUGUAGCAGAGGGGGGUGGAAUUCCACGUGUAGCAGUGAAAUGCGUAGAGAUGUGGAGGAACACCGAUGGCGAAGGCAGCCCCCUGGGUUAACACUGACGCUCAGGCACGAAAGCGUGGGGAGCGAGCCGG